UUGCCUGAAAAGUUUUGCAUGGAAUAAUGGAAUAGGACUUCGGUUCUAUUUCGUUGGUUUUCGGAUCCGAAGUAAUGAUCAAAAGAGACAGGCGGGGACGUUUGUAUGGCUGCGCUAGAGGUGAAAUUCAUGGACCGUAGCCAGACAAACUAAAGCGAAAGCAUUCGUCAAGCAUGUUUUCAUUGGCCAUGAGCGAAAGUCAGAGGCUCGAAGACGAUCAGAUACCGUCCUAGUUCUGACCAUAAACGAUGCCAACUGACGAUCCGUGGUGGUAGUGAUAAAACCUUCCCCACGGGCAGUCCCCGGGAAACCUUUAAGUGUUUGGGUUCCGGGGGAAGUAUGGUUGCAAAGCUGAAACUUAAAGGAAUUGACGGAAGGGCACCACCAGGAGUGGAGCCUNNGGCUUAAUUUGACUCAACACGGGAAAACUCACCCGGGCCGGACACUAUGAGGAUUGACAGAUUGAUAGC
rnacentral:rRNA from 1 species